UACGUAGGUGGCAAGCGUUGUCCGGAUUUAUUGGGUUUAAAGGGUGCGUAGGCGGCCCUAUAAGUCAGUGCUGAAAUAUCCCGGCUUAACCGGGAGGGUGGCAUUGAUACUGUAGGGCUUGAGUAAAGUUGAGGUUGGCGGAAUUGACGGUGUAGCGGUGAAAUGCUUAGAGAUCGGGAGGAACACCAGUGGCGAAGGCGGCCAUCUGGAUCAACACUGACGCUGAGGCACGAAAGCGUGGGGAGCAAACAGG
rnacentral:rRNA from 1 species